AGCGAACGCUGGCGGCGUGCCUAACACAUGCAAGUCGAACGUGAAAAGGGAAACCUGAGUAAAGUGGCGUACGGGUGAGUAACGCGUAGGUAAUCUACCCCAGAAUCUGGAAUAACCUGCCGAAAGGCGGGCUAAUACUGGAUAGAGCGAGGGAACUCGUAAGAGAGUUUUUCGGGAAAGGGAGCCCGCAAGGGCCUUCGUUCUGGGAUGAGCCUGCGUCUCAUUAGCUAGUUGGUAAGGUAACGGCUUACCAAGGCGAUGAUGAGUAGCUGGUCUGAGAGGAUGAUCAGCCACACUGGAACGUAAACACGGUCCAGACUCCUACGAGAGGCAGCAGUGGGGAAUCUGGCGCAAUGGACGAGAGUCUGACGCAGCCACGCCGCGUGAGUGAAGAAGGCCUUCGGGUUGUAAAGCUCUGUCGGAUGUGACGAACAUCUUCAUAGUGAAAAGCUAUGAGGACUGACGGUACCAACAAAGGAAGCACCGGCUAACUCCGUG
rnacentral:rRNA from 1 species